GAGUUUGAUCCUGGCUCAGGACGAACGCUGGCGGCGCGCCUAACCAAGAAGUGAAGGGAUUAAGAGAAGUCGUUUUUUUUAUUAGACGGGAACGGUGAAUAACGGUGGGUAAACCCCCCUUGAGUGGGGGCAAAAGUUGGAACCGCUGGUUUAUCCGGUUAAGGCCCCGGUUUCCCUUUGUAUUGAGGAAAAAGAUUUUUUCCCUUUAGGAAGGACUCGGGUCCAAUUAGUUAGUUGGUAAGGUACGGCCCCCCAAGGCGACGAUUGGUAGCCGGACCGAGAGGUGGACGGCCACAUUGGGACUGAGGCACGGCCCAGACUCCUACGGGAGGCAGCAGUGGGGGAUAUUGCCCAAUGGGGGAAACCCUGAUGCAGCGACGCCGCGUGGAGGAAGAAGGUUUUCGGAUUGUAAACUCCUGUCGUUAGGGACGAUAAUGACGGUACCUAACAAGAAAGCACCGGCUAACUACGUGCCAGCAGCCGCGGUAAAACGUAGGGUGCAAGCGUUGUCCGGAAUUACUGGGUGUAAAGGGAGCGCAGGCGGACCGGCAAGUUGGAAGUGAAAUCCAUGGGCUCAACCCGUGAAUUGCUUUCAAAACUGCUGGCCUUGAGUAGUGCAGAGGUAGGUGGAAUUCCCGGUGUAGCGGUGGAAUGCGUAGAUAUCGGGAGGAACACCAGUGGCGAAGGCGACCUACUGGGCACCAACUGACGCUGAGGCUCGAAAGCAUGGGUAGCAAACAGGAUUAGAUACCCUGGUAGUCCAUGCCGUAAACGAUGAUUACUAGGUGUUGGAGGAUUGACCCCUUCAGUGCCGCAGUUAACACAAUAAGUAAUCCACCUGGGGAGUACGACCGCAAGGUUGAAACUCAAAGGAAUUGACGGGGGCCCGCACAAGCAGUGGAGUAUGUGGUUUAAUUCGAAGCAACGCGAAGAACCUUACCAGGUCUUGACAUCCGAUGCAUAGUGCAGAGAUGCAUGAAGUCCUUCGGGACAUCGAGACAGGUGGUGCAUGGUUGUCGUCAGCUCGUGUCGUGAGAUGUUGGGUUAAGUCCCGCAACGAGCGCAACCCUUAUUGCCAGUUACUACGAAAGAGGACUCUGGCGAGACUGCCGUUGACAAAACGGAGGAAGGUGGGGAUGACGUCAAAUCAUCAUGCCCUUUAUGACCUGGGCUACACACGUACUACAAUGGCGUUUAACAAAGAGAAGCAAGACCGCGAGGUGGAGCAAAACUCAGAAACAACGUCUCAGUUCAGAUUGCAGGCUGCAACUCGCCUGCAUGAAGUCGGAAUUGCUAGUAAUCGCGGAUCAGCAUGCCGCGGUGAAUACGUUCCCGGGCCUUGUACACACCGCCCGUC
rnacentral:rRNA from 1 species